UGUCCCUACGGGGCGCAGCAGUGGGGAAUAUUGCACAAUGGGGGAAACCCUGAUGCAGCGACGCCGCGUGAGUGAAGAAGUAAUUCGUUAUGUAAAGCUCUAUCAGCAGGGAAGAAAAUGACGGUACCUGAGUAAGAAGCCCCGGCUAACUACGUGCCAGCAGCCGCGGUAAUACGUAGGGGGUAAGCGUUAUCCGGAUUUACUGGGUGUAAAGGGAGCGUAGACGGCCAUUCAAGCCAGAUGUGAAAGCCCGGGGCUCAACCCCGGGACUGCAUUUGGAACUGUGUGGCUAGAGUGUCGGAGAG
rnacentral:rRNA from 1 species